GAUGAACGCUAGCGGGAGGCUUAAUACAUGCAAGUCGAGCGAGAAGCUACCUUCGGGUAGUGGACAGCGGCGCACGGGUGAGUAACGCGUACACAAUCUACCUUAUAGAGGAGAAUAGCCCUGGGAAACUGGGAUUAAUGCUCCAUAGUAUUACACUUUGGCAUCAAGGUGUAAUUAAAGCUCCGGCGCUAUAAGAUGAGUGUGCGUACUAUUAGCUAGUUGGUAAGGUAACGGCUUACCAAGGCUACGAUAGUUAGGGGGCGUGAGAGCGUGACCCCCCACACGGGUACUGAGACACGGACCCG
rnacentral:rRNA from 1 species